UACAGAGGAUGCGAGCGUUAAUCGGAAUUACUGGGCGUAAAGCGCACGUAGGUGGCGACGUAAGUCGGGUGUGAAAGCCCCGGGCUCAACCUGGGAAUUGCAUUCGAGACUGCAUUGCUGGAGUACGGAAGAGGAGGGCGGAAUUCCCGGUGUAGCGGUGAAAUGCGUAGAUAUCGGGAGGAACAUAAGUGGCGAAGGCGGCCCUCUGGUCCAGUACUGAAACUCAAGUGCGAAAGCGUGGGGAGCAAACAGG
rnacentral:rRNA from 1 species